GUAACACGUAAGCAACCUGCCUGUCAGAGGGGAACAACAGUUAGAAAUGACUGCUAAUACCGCAUAAGACCACAGCACCGCAUGGUGCAGGGGUAAAAACUCCGGUGGUACAGGAUGGACCCGCGUCUGAUUAGCUGGUUGGUGAGGUAACAGCUCACCAAGGCGACGAUCAGUAGCCGGCUUGAGAGAGUGAACGGCCACAUUGGGACUGAGACACGGCCCAAACUCCUACGGGAGGCAGCAUG
rnacentral:rRNA from 1 species